GUGCUUACUGCUUAGCUUUGAUGACAGCUGAGUAAGAUCACAGCAGGAUUCAUUCCUCUUCUUAAUAAAGGUUUGUUCACCACAAAACUUACGCAGUUCGCUAGACCAUCUCUACUUGCACGGGUUCCAGCGAGAGCAGGUGAAAGGCUCGUUGAGAAACAACUUCUGUCACUGAACAGAAACUACUGAGCUGAAGUAGUACUACUGCUUUUCAUCUGAGACUUUGUUUUUCUCUGUGCAGAUUUAAAGUUUUUAAGGAUGCAGCCAGAAAUCUGUGGAGGAGGACACCAGAUGAUAAUGCAGAAAGACAUGAAGGUGGAAUGAGAACAGUUGUGCAUGCCCCAGAGGAACAGCUGCCAGUUAGCAAUACGUUUGUCCUUCAGGAACCUAUCAGAAGGGUGACUCUGGUGGGGAAUUUCCUUACCUCUGGUGACAUUAACAGCCUUAGUAUAAAAUAAAAUCAUCAAUAG